rnacentral:lncRNA from 1 species
GAAAAAUAAUACUCAGGGAAGAGAGAAGAACAUUCAGAGUUGGGAACAGAAAGUAGAGAUUUCCUUUAGUUCUAAACCAUAGGAGCUUUCUUUAUAUUUCCCAACUCCAGGCAUCUCCCCAACUAUGUCUUCUCUCCCUUCCCAGGUUUCUGUGCAUCCUCUCACAUAAAGUUGGCAGGAAGACAAACAUCUGAGCCUAAAAGGCAAUUAUUGGCGUGUUAGAUGUGACUUUACCAUGGACAGAUCUAAUUAUUCUUCAUGGGAAUGAUAUGUUAUCUUCCUACACUUGAAGUUUGAAAUUAUUUUCUAUAAAAUAUCAAACCUAUUCAAGCCAUAAUUCCAAAAAUAUGUGUGCUUCUUUAGAUUUAUGAUUUGAAAUUUAAUAUUUACAAAUAAUGCAGACUUUAUCCUGAAACUAAGUAUCUCCUUAACAAUCACUGCAAUCCCCAGAAUAAGAUAAAAAAAUCUUCCCUAGAGAAAUUGCUUGUAAAAUCAAAAAAGUAUUAAUGAUGCAAACAUAUCAACUAUGUAAAUAAGAAGAGUUAUAUCAGGUAAUUAAAAUAGAAAAUUUAAAAACCAAUGCUAUCAACUAUGAUAUGUCUUUACAGUUGCAUGACUCAUUACUUUUUAGCUUAGAUAGGUUUUUCUUUUUAUUUACUUACAUUUUUGAGAUGGGGUCUCAUUAGGUUCUCUAAGGCUGGUUUUGAAUUUGUGGGCUUGAGUGAUUUUCUUGCUUUAGCCUCCCAAGGAGCUGGGACUACAGGUGUGAACCACCAUGCCUGGCUGCUAUUUUUUAAAAAAUUUAUUUUGAGAUAAUUAUAGAUUUAUAUGAAGUUGAAAAAAAUAAUAUUACCUUUACCCAGUUUCCUCCAAUGAUAAAAUUUUGGAUAACUAUAGUAUAACAUCACAACUAGGAAACUGAUAACGAUACCACUUUUAUUCAGAUUGCGUCAGUUUUACAUGCAUGAAUCUCUCUGUGUGUAUAAUUUUAUUGCAUGUGUAGAUUCGUGUGAUCACCACCACAGUCAAGGCACGGACCAGGUUUAUCACAAAGAUCCUUCCUGCUGCCCUUUCAAAGCCAUAACUACUUUCUUUCUGGCCCCCUUCCAACCCCAAUAACUACUAAUUUGGUUCUUCAUUUCUAGUUAUCAUUUUGUUUUGAGAAUGUUGUAUUCAUGGAAAAAUAUACUAUUUAACCUUCUGAGAUUGGCAUUUUUUUAUUCAGUAUAAUUCCCUUGAGACCAUUAGAGUUGUAUCAAUAGUUUGUUCUUUUUGUUCAUUAGUAUUUCAUGUAUAGAUUACUACAGUUUAUUCACCUAUUAAACGAAUUGUGGAUUGGUUCCAGAUUAGGGUUGUUUAGAAUAAAGCUACCAUGAACAUUUGUGCUCAGGUUUUUGUGUGAACAUUUUCACUUCUGUGGGAAAGUGUGUAAUAACUAGGCACAUGUUUAGUUACAUGAGACACUGCUAAACUUUUCCAGAGUGGCAGUGUCUUUUCUCAUUCCUACCUGCAAUAUAUGACUGAUCCAGUUUUUUCACAUCCUUGUCAACACUUGUUAUCACUAUUUUUAAAAGUCUUAGCCAUUCUGAUAAUAAUAAUAAUUGUUUUGACAUCUCGUUUUGACUGUUAUUUGUAUUAACCAGUGGUC